rnacentral:rRNA from 1 species
UGACGGUACCCUACUAGAAAGGAGCCGCUAACUUCGUGCCAGAAGCGUCGGUAAUACGGGGGCUCCAAGCGUUAUCCGGUGUUAUUGGGCGUAAAGAGUCGUGUAGGUGGUUGGGUAAGUUAUCUUUCAAAUAUCUUUGCUUAACAAAGAGGAGGGGGAUAAUACUGCUCGACUAGAAUUUUCUCAAGGGAGAUCGGAACUGAGGGAGGAGUAGUGAAAUGCGUUGAUACCCUCGGGAACACCAGUGGCGUAGGCGGAUCUCUGGGAGAAGAUUGACACUGAGACACGAAAGCUAGGGGAGCGAAGCAGAUUAGAGACCUGCGUAGUCCUAGCCGUAAACGCAUGCUUGCUAGCUGCAUGAAUCUACCUUCGGGUGGUAUCGUGUGGCGAAGGUAACCCGUUAAGCAAGCCGCCUGGAAAGUACGGCCGCAAGGCUGAAAUUCAAAGGAAUUGGCGGGGAGGCACACAACCAGUGGAACAUGUGGUUUAAUUCGAGACUAACCGAAGAACCUCACCAGGGUUUGACAUGUAGCUGCACGUCUUAAGAAAUUAAGACUCUCUUGAAGGUGCUACACAGGUGCUGCAUGGCUGUCGUCAGCUCGUUCCGUGAGGAGUGCCCUUAAGUGGGACAACGAGCGCAACCCCUAUUACAUGUUAGAAAUGUCAUGUAAGACUGCCUUGCCAUUUGGCGGGGAGGAAGGAGAGGCAGACGUCAAGUCCGCAUGGUCCUUAUGCCCUGGGCUACACACAUGUUACAAUGAGUACGGCAAUGAGUCUGUCGCGAGCACGUAAGUGUAAGCUAAUCUCUUAAAUGUACUCUCAGUGGGGAUUGAGGUCUGCAACUCGACCUCAUGAACACGGAAUUGGUAGUAAUCGCGGGUCAGCUAUACCGCGGUGAUACGUUCUUGCCUCUUGCACACACCGCCCGUCAAACCAGCAAAGUCGAUUGUAUCCGAACCU